AUUGAACGCUGGCGGCAUGCCUUACACAUGCAAGUCGAACGGCAGCACGGGUGCUUGCACCUGGUGGCGAGUGGCGAACGGGUGAGUAAUAUAUCGGAACGUACCUUAUUGUGGGGGAUAACGCAGCGAAAGCUGUGCUAAUACCGCAUAAUCCCUAAGGGGGAAGGCGGGGGACCGUAAGGCCUCGCGCAAUUAGAGCGGCCGAUACCUGAUUAGCUAGUUGGUGAGGUAAAGGCUCAACAAGGCAACGAUCAGUAGCUGGUCUGAGAGGACGAUCAGCCACACUGGGACUGAGACACGGCCCAGACUCCUACGGGAGGCAGCAGUGGGGAAUUUUGGACAAUGGGGGCAACCCUGAUCCAGCAAUGCCGCGUGAGUGAAGAAGGCCUUCGGGUUGUAAAGCUCUUUUGUCAGGGAAGAAACAGCAGCUCUAACACAGUUUGCGAAUGACGGUACCUGAAGAAUAAGCACCGGCUAACUACGUGCCAGCAGCCGCGGUAA
rnacentral:rRNA from 1 species